rnacentral:rRNA from 1 species
GACGAACGCUGGCGGCGUGCUUAACACAUGCAAGUCGAACGGAAAGGCCCUGCUUGCAGGGUACUCGAGUGGCGAACGGGUGAGUAACACGUGGGUGAUCUGCCCUGCACUUCGGGAUAAGCCUGGGAAACUGGGUCUAAUACCGGAUAGGAGCCAUUUUUAGUGUGAUGGUUGGAAAGUUUUUUCGGUGUUGGAUGAGCUCGCGGCCUAUCAGCUUGUUGGUGGGGUAAUGGCCUACCAAGGCGGCGACGGGUAGCCGGCCUGAGAGGGUGGACGGCCACAUUGGGACUGAGAUACGGCCCAGACUCCUACGGGAGGCAGCAGUGGGGAAUAUUGCACAAUGGGCGCAAGCCUGAUGCAGCGACGCCGCGUGGGGGAUGACGGCCUUCGGGUUGUAAACUCCUUUCGCUAGGGACGAAGCUUUUUGUGACGGUACCUAGAGAAGAAGCACCGGCUAACUACGUG